UACAGAGGGGGCAAGCGUUAUUCGGAAUUAUUGGGCGUAAAGGGCGCGUAGGCGGCUUUGCAAGUGACGGGUGAAAUCCCUCGGCUUAACCGAGGAACUGCCUGCCAAACUGCAUGGCUUGAGACCGGGAGAGGUGAGUGGAAUUCCCAGUGUAGCGGUGAAAUGCGUAGAUAUUGGGAGGAACACCAGUGGCGAAGGCGGCUCACUGGACCGGUACUGACGCUGAUGCGCGAAAGCGUGGGGAGCAAACAGG
rnacentral:rRNA from 1 species